rnacentral:rRNA from 1 species
GACGAACGCUGGCGGCGUGCUUAACACAUGCAAGUCGAACGGAAAGGCCCUGCUUUUGUGGGGUGCGCGAGUGGCGAACGGGGGAGUAACACGUGAGUAACCUGCCCUUGACUUUGGGAUAACUUCAGGAAACUGGGGCUAAUACCGGAUAGGAGCUCCUGCUGCAUGGUGGGGGUUGGAAAGUUUCGGCGGUUGGGGAUGGACUCGCGGCUUAUCAGCUUGUUGGUGGGGUAGUGGCUUACCAAGGCUUUGACGGGUAGCCGGCCUGGGAGGGUGACCGGCCCCAUUGGGACUGGGAUGCGGCCCAGACUCCUACGGGAGGCAGCAGUGGGGAAUAUUGCCCAAUGGGCGGAAGCCUGAUGCAGCAACGCCGCGUGCGGGAUGACGGCCUUCGGGUUGUAAACCGCUUUCGUCUGUGGCGAAGCGUGAGUGACGGUACUGGGUAAAGAAGCCCCGGCUAACUACGUG